AACUGAUACUACCUGCGGGAACCUGCGGAAGGAUCAUCAUUGAAUUAACUAACCCCAAGCUUGAGCUUUGGAAGAAAUGCAUUUUUCUUCUGGCUUGGUUUGGCUUGGCUUGGCAAACAAUUUUGAUACCCAAAAAGAGAGAAGAGAGUUUCAUCUUUAUCUUCAGUCUUUGGCCUAUAUAUUUACUUGGGUUGAUAGCUGGGGAGAAGAGAGAGAAACCCUGCCUGAAAAUAACACAUG
rnacentral:misc_RNA from 1 species